rnacentral:rRNA from 1 species
UACGUAGGGAGCAAGCGUUAUCCGGAUUUAUUGGGUGUAAAGGGUGCGUAGACGGAGAAGCAAGUUAGUUGUGAAAUCCCUCGGCUUAACUGAGGAACUGCAACUAAAACUACUUCCCUUGAGUACUGGAGAGGAAAGUGGAAUUCCUAGUGUAGCGGUGAAAUGCGUAGAUAUUAGGAGGAACACCAGUGGCGAAGGCGACUUUCUGGACAGUAACUGACGUUGAGGCACGAAAGUGUGGGGAGCAAACAGG